rnacentral:rRNA from 1 species
UACGGAGGAUGCAAGCGUUAUCCGGAUUUAUUGGGUUUAAAGGGUCCGUAGGCGGAUCUUUAAGUCAGUGGUGAAAGCCCACAGCUCAACUGUGGAACUGCCAUUGAUACUGGAGAUCUUGAGUGUAGUAGAAGUAGGCGGAAUAGGGCAUGUAGCGGUGAAAUGCAUAGAUAUGCCCUAGAACACCGAUUGCGAAGGCAGCUUACUAUGUUACAACUGACGCUGAGGGACGAAAGCGUGGGGAGCAAACAGG